rnacentral:rRNA from 1 species
AGAGUUUGAUCAUGGCUCAGGACGAACGCUUGCGGCGUGCCUAAGAAAUGCAAGUCGAGCGAGUGACGGGGCUUCGGCCCCUGAUCUAGCGGCGAACGGUCGCGUAACACGUAAGCAACCUGCCCCGAAGACCGGGACAACAUUCCGAAAGGAGUGCUAAUACCGGAUGUGGCCACUGGGAGACAUCUCCUGGUGAUUAAAGCCUGUACAAGGGCUUCGGGAGGGGCUUGCGGCCUAUCAGCUAGUUGGUGGGGUAACGGCCUACCAAGGCGACGACGGGUAGCUGGUCUGAGAGGACGAUCAGCCGGACUGGGACUGAGAUACGGCCCAGACUCCUACGGGGGGCAGCAAUUAGGAAUCUUGCACAAUGGGCGAAAGCCUGAUGCAGCGACGCCGCGUGAGGGAGGAAGUCCUUCGGGAUGUAAACCUCUUUUAUCAGGGAAGAAAAAAAUGACGGUACCUGAUGAAUAAGCUCCGGCUAACUACGUGCCAGCAGCCGCGGUAAUACGUAGGGAGCGAGCGUUGUCCGAAGUUACUGGGCGUAAAGCGCGCGUAGGCGGGCUAUUAAGUGAGAAGUGAAAGGCUGGGGCUCAACCUCAUGCAGUGCUUCUCAUACUGGUAGUCUUGAGGGCGGUAGAGAGAAGUGGAAUGGCUGGUGUAGCGGUGAAAUGCGUAGAUAUCAGUCGGAACACCGGUGGCGAAGGCGGCUUCUUGGGCCGUUCCUGACGCUGAGGCGCGAAAGCCAGGGGAGCGAACGGGAUUAGAUACCCUAGUAGUCC